AUGAACAGGAGUAGUGGCUGCAGUGGUGUUCAUCACCCUCUGUGCGUUGGCUUUCAUCAUCCGCUUCCUGUAUCAUCACCGACGGACUCCAGCACCCCCCGUAAUCACCGGAAAGAUACAUCGACCCAGCAUGGAACAUCCUCCAUACCGGGCUGCACUGGACCUGCACAAACCCAACCACGACAGCAAAGAAUACUACAUCUGACCUCGCCAUCUCGUGCCUGGCCUUUAAUCGAACAGCCUGUCGCCAGUGUACAUGCUAACAAACCCACCACACUGUAUUAUCUACACUGCAAGUUGAGCAGCCAAUCACAGGCCAGCAAUGACCCAACAGGCACAAGAAAUUACAACAGAGACAUUUUUGUUUGUUUGUUUGUUUGUUUGUUUAU
rnacentral:lncRNA from 1 species